rnacentral:lncRNA from 1 species
UAAAUAUCAUGAAAAAGUUAGUCAACUUUCUGAUUGACUAGAUUACUCGUGAUCUUGUGCUUCUCUAGGUGGGUAAGUUAUUUUUCCAUAGAUAGCAUUUACCUAUAAAAUGGGAGGAAAGUCUUACCCAUCUAGGAGGUAGAUAAGUCAUUUUCCCAUUAGCCAAAAAAUAAUCUUUUUAUUAUUCCUAAAAUACCCCUAACCAUAUAAUAAUAAUAUAAUAAUAAAAUAAUAUCAUAAUGAUAUAUAUUAAUAUAAUAUAUUAUAGUGUCGUAUAAUAUAAUAUGG